UGUACAAUAGAGAAACCUAGAUCCAAGCAUUAGGGUUUGUAUGAGCACAUAGGAUGUUCUUAUGACCAAAACCCAUCAGUGGUAUCAGAGCCUAGAUUGGUUUCUAUUGUAUUGAUGCCUUGUAUGUUGAAAAAAUUCGAUUUUUGUGGUUCUGCAUGAUGGACUCGGCGAGUCCCACUGUGGACUCGGCGAGUUGCCCCUACUCGGCGAGUCCAUGGGGGUACUCGGCUAGUUCGAGCGUCAGAUGGAGCUAUUUUCGGGAUUUCUUGCUGUUUAUCUUUGAGAUACUUGAAUUUACCAUAUUAGAUCAAUAUAGAUAUGAAUUUAUGAUAUAUAUAUGAGUAUAUUCUUGAUCUAAUUGAAGGUAUUUAUCAAUUAAUAAAAUAUUUAUUUCCUUAUGUGAUAAUUGAUUAAUUAUUUUGAUUAAAUUGGUAAAUUGUUUUGCAAGAAAUCAUUAAAUAAAUCAAAUAUGGAUAAUUAUGUGAUUAAAUGUUAAUUAAGAUUAUUUGUUAUUUGAUCCUUGUGUUAUGAAAAGUUUCAUAUUUUCCCCUUUAGGUUUUAUAGUUUAAAUUUGAACUCAAAAGUUUAGUUUUGAAAUUUAAAUAGUUGAAACCCUAAUGUUUUGAAAAAGGUUUCAAAACUUGCCCUCAAGUUUUGGAAUUUAAAUUUUGAUUAAAUAGUUUAAUUUUGAUGUAUAUUUAAAUUCUAAACCCUAAUGUGUUGAAAUGUUUCAAAACUUGCCCUCAAGUUUUGGAAUUUAAAAGUUGAUUAAAAGUUUAAUUAGGAAUGUUAAAUUCUAAAACUCUAGUAUAGUUUUGAAAAAGUUCAAAUCACACCCUUAUGGUUUUAUUAAUUAAUUAAGGUGUAUAAUUAAAAGAGGUUUAAUAAAUCCAUAAAAGUUUAGGUUUACAAUUUAAUUGAAUUAAAAGUAUAAUUGUUAAAUUUGACCACCUAGUAUUUUAAAAGUGUAAAAUACACCCUAUACUAUAUAUAACAUUAAAAGUCUAACAUUAUAUAUAUGUAUGAGUAAAAGUCAGUCUUACCGUUAGUAGGCCUCAUUCACGAAGCUGGUCUAUAAGGGGUGUUUAAGGAAAUUGCCUAUAAAAUGGCGAUUGAAUGGGUAUCCACUCUUACCCACCGCACUCUUGACUAGUGGAGGGUCGUUAGCCGAACGGGUAGGAUAGGACGAAACCUUCCAUUAUAAGUAUAAUGAAGUAUAAAAGUAACUAAAUGUUUUCAUAAAAUUCCCAAUCUUAGUUACUUAGGCAAAAGUGAAUUGAUGCAAUUCCAUGAAAUUACACUUUGUGCCCUUGCGAAGACGUUAGUGGAGCGUGUGUGGUUUACCGGCACACUAAAUGGUUCUAAGCAAAGGUAGCAAAGGGUGACUCAAUGUUUGUCAUAGUUCGGUGGAGCGUGUGUGGUUUACCGGCACAUCGAAUAGGUGACUGUAACAUGUGAGGGCACCAUGUAAGUUUGCAUGGUUAUUCACACCCGCUUUGUGAUCCUCGGCAUCCCAGUCACAAACAAGAGGGGCAUAUCGAGAUUUAAACAUGCCAUUGAAAGUUCAAUGAAUCUCAAAGGAUCUAGGAGUUUUCAUAGAUUUAAAACUUAAAUUUCUUUUUCGUUUUUCAUGGUGGAAAUUAGUGAAUCGUCAUUCACUUACCUUCAAAUGUUCUGCAAUUUGGGUUACGGCAUCCCUCUCCCGAGUUGUAGAAUAUUGUGUUGGGUCCUAGCCUUAGUAUCUCAUUUGGGUGAUUUACUAAGGACUCAAUCAAUCAACUAACUUGAAUUCGUUUUCUCCCGUUUUGUAGAUGUCAAAGUUCGACAACUAUGGUCUUCCCAAAUCCCGUGGAACAAGCAUUCCACAUGAAGAUGAUAUUCCACGAUUCGAUCAAGGAACAAGAAAUCAUGCUUCACUUCCUCCACCUCCUCCAAUUAUUCUCCCUAACCCACAAGUUCAAAGGCUUGAAAAGUUCAAGAUCACUCAAGCCCUUUUGGCAAGUAAACAUAAAGAAGGAAAGUCGGUGUGUGCACACGUCCUAGGGAUGAAGUCACACAUUGAUAGGUUAAGAAUGUUGGGAUCCAUUGUCUGUGAGGAGAUGGCUGUUGAUUGGGUUCUUCAGUCACUUCCUAACUCAUAUAGUGAGUUCGUAAGAGAGUACUAUAUGAUGAACCGCGACGUGACCCUUAUAGAUCUCACCUAUAUGCUUAUUGCUGCUGAAUCAGCAAUGGUUUGGCGCAAUAGAAAAGCAAAGUUGAUUGGUGAAUCUGCCUUCAAGACCUCUAUGGAUAUAGACAAUGGCAACGAAAGACAUGCCAUGAUCGAAAAGUUUGAUCAUAAGAGAAAGGCAAAGUCUGAAGUAGUUCCAUGUGCUGUUCCAAAAGAGUCCAUUUGCUUUUAUUGCCAAGAGAAGGGGCAUUGGAGACGAAGCUGCCCUAAUUACCUGAGAGAUCUAAGAGAUGGGAGAGUCAAGACGUAUGGCUCUGCUUCAGGUAAAAUCCAUUAACUAACUCUUUUAAGUUCCUAUUCUAGAUUCUUAAUACAUGAUGUGAUAAGAUUACAUUUUGAUGUUUUGUAGGAUCGAAGAAAAGAGAGGAAGCUUAAGGGAAGAAGUGAGCUGAAUCUAAUCGUGAAGAAAUGGAUUUCGAUCGCAUUGCUUGAAGAUUAGAUUCUUGAGCUACUACUUGGAGUUAGAAUAGAUUGUUAAGAAAUAUGUAAUAACAUAGUUUUUCCAUUGAAUUGCAUUGUAAGGACAAAUUUUUCCGCAAUAAAAUAAAUUUUGAUUUUAUAUUAUUUAUUUAUCCUUGCAAUGGCGUGUAUGAAAAAUUAAUGUUUGAAUGAUUAGCAAUAAUGGAUUUGAUUCUUAGUUAUGUUAUUUGUGGCAAUGUCGAGAAUUUACCAAAUUGGGAGUGUUUCUCAUCGCCCAAGUUUUAAUUGGACAAAAACUUGGAAUCAAGCAACUUGGUUGCAUGAUGAAUG
rnacentral:lncRNA from 1 species